AGGCAUCUGCAUCACCUGAGGGGCCACCUUUCUAACAUGGAUGGCUAUGCUGCUUCCCGCUGUGGAAAACGGCAAUGAUUGUUGAGCCAUCUGUGAUUUUGCAAUCUAUGUAAAACAGUGCCAUUCCUUUAUUUGCAUGUAUUUUUAGCAAUGUCACUCUCAGUGGUCUGCUACGUAUGCAAUGGUGGAUUUACUUUUAAUUCUCAGUGCUCAUGCUGAAAUCUCCUAUACUCUAUGCUGCUGUCAGUUGUACUGGUGGAGCUUGUUGCAUAAAGGUGAGAAAAGUAUUUCCAGUAUGAUUUCUUUCUUCUUUACCUCAUUUAGGAUUCAACUGUUUUUCCUCAUAAUGUAGGUAAUGGUAUGGCCAUGAAUUUACUGGUGUGACUGAACUUUCACUUUAGUCUGCAGAUCGGGUGACAGAGGAGAAGGAAUCAAAGCAUUUGCUUGACGAAAGUUUCUUGCUCUUGUACACUGAAUUUUGUGUACUGCUGCAGUUCCGGUCCCCUGAAUUUGUGUACUGCUCUGCGACAGUAAGGGUUCCAACAAUCCAACUUGCAGCCUUUACCUUCUCCGUUCAUAUCUUGGUCUCUGCUACCCUGACAUGUGCGCUAUCUGAAAAUAGUUGAAGGCAAACCAUUCUUACGUUCUUCCUCAAUCUUUUCGAUGAACAACAUAACUUAGAUGUCAACUGAGUUUGCGAGGAAUUGGGGUGGAUUGGAAAGGCUCUGAAAAGGUCUUCAUUCUCGUAUGUUACUGAAACUUUGGUUACAUAGAAAGCUAGAUUCAGUCGCAGAGCUAGCUAAGCAUUCAGCCAAAUUCCUGUUUGUAUUCAGCAUGUAAAAAUUAAGAUUUAGCCAUUUUUUAGCAUAGUUU
rnacentral:lncRNA from 1 species